GAUGAACGCUAGCGAUAGGCUUAACACAUGCAAGUCGAGGGGCAGCAUGAUCUUAGCUUGCUAAGGUCGAUGGCGACCGGCGCACGGGUGCGUAACGCGUAUGCAACUUGCCUUACAGAGGGGGAUAACCCGUUGAAAGACGGACUAAAACCGCAUACACUUGUAUUAUUGCAUGAUAUUACAAGGAAAUAUUUAUAGCUGUAAGAUAGGCAUGCGUCCCAUUAGCUGGUUGGUGAGGUAACGGCUCACCAAGGCGACGAUGGGUAGGGGAACUGAGAGGUUUAUCCCCCACACUGGUACUGAGACACGGACCAGACUCCUACGGGAGGCAGCAGUGAGGAAUAUUGGUCAAUGGGCGAGAGCCUGAACCAGCCAAGUCGCGUGAAGGAAGACAGUCCUAAGGAUUGUAAACUUCUUUUAUACGGGAAUAACGGGCGAUACGAGUAUUGCAUUGAAUGUACCGUAAGAAUAAGCAUCGGCUAACUCCGUGCCAGCAGCCGCGGUAAUACGGAGGAUGCGAGCGUUAUCCGGAUUUAUUGGGUUUAAAGGGUGCGUAGGUUGUUCGGUAAGUCAGCGGUGAAACCUGAGCGCUCAACGUUCAGCCUGCCGUUGAAACUGCCGGGCUUGAGUUCAGUGGCGGCAGGCGGAAUUCGUGGUGUGGCGGUGAAAUGCAUAGAUAUCACGAGGAACUCCGAUUGCGAAGGCAGCUUGCCAUACUGCGACUGACACUGAAGCACGAAGGCGUGGGUAUCAAACAGG
rnacentral:rRNA from 1 species